UGGGGAAUAUUGCACAAUGGGCGCAAGCCUGAUGCAGCCAUGCCGCGUGUAUGAAGAAGGCCUUCGGGUUGUAAAGUACUUUCAGUCGGGAGGAAGGUGUCAAGGUUAAUAACCUUGGCAAUUGACGUUACCGACAGAAGAAGCACCGGCUAACUCCGUGCCAGCAGCCGCGGUAAUACGGAGGGUGCAAGCGUUAAUCGGAAUUACUGGGCGUAAAGCGCACGCAGGCGGUUGAUUUAGUCAGAUGUGAAAUCCCCGGGCUUAACCCGGGAAUUGCAUCUGAUACUGGUCAGCUAGAGUCUUGUAGAGGGGGGUAGAAUUCCAUGUGUAGCGGUGAAAUGCGUAGAGAUGUGGAGGAAUACCGGUGGCGAAGGCGGCCCCCUGGACAAAGACUGACGCUCAGGUGCGAAAGCGUGGGGAGCAAACAGG
rnacentral:rRNA from 1 species